AUCCCUGCAUUGUUUGUGACAGCCCAAGUUUUGAACCAACACAUUAUUUAAGGGAAUUUCUCUCUUUCCGCAGCCCACAUGCCUCGAUUUAUCGGGGAUUUGGAAACCGGAAAGGAAAAUACCCACCUGUCGAGGACAGGUACAAAACCCGGCUGAACGGCAAAGGCGGGGGUU
rnacentral:other from 1 species